CCUACGGGAGGCAGCAGUGGGGAAUCUUAGACAAUGGGGGAAACCCUGAUCUAGCCAUGCCGCGUGGACGAUGAAGGCCUUAGGGUUGUAAAGUCCUUUCAGCUGGGAAGAUAAUGACGGUACCAGCAGAAGAAGCCCCGGCUAACUCCGUGCCAGCAGCCGCGGUAAU
rnacentral:rRNA from 1 species